UCCGACAUCCGGGGGCCCGGAUGAGGGUCUCUUGAGGGGCCUCUUCCCUCUAAGGUGAACCUCUGUGCUCUGUGUGCUGGCCUCUUCGCUCUUGGAGCUCCGAAGGGAACAUCUCAUUGCACCUAAAGGAAGCAGGGUACUGCUCAGGUCCCUGCUGAGCGCUCUACUCAGUUUCUGGGAGUCUGAAGCUGAGCCACAAGCUGGGCCACUGCUGGGAGAGGUGAGCAGCUUUGCCCACUGUGUGCUCUUGCCACGUUGUUCCACAGACUGGAGCUUCCGGAACCAUGAACUGGAUACGCCUCUCUCCACAAGCUGAUCACCUGUGCAUGAGCUACCCAGAUGAGAACUGACAGCACCUAGGAGAGCGGUCCACGAGUUGACUUCUGGCCUUCCCUCCUGCCUUGGCACCAUUUUUGGUCUCCAACCCAGGCUCUGCUUGCUCCUACUGCCUGACUCUAGUGCUCCCAGUCCUGGGUCUGGGUCCUUCCUUCCUGGUUGAUCUCUGGGUCACCCGGGCCUGGCCCUGCUCUGUUCUGGGCUUUGUUCAGUCCACAGUCUGGAUGCCCUCCUGGAUCCAGCCUCCCCUGCACAGGCGUGUGAAUGGCCAGAGCUCUGGCCUCAGCCCGAGGGAGCCUGUGUGGAAAGGCUGGGCCUCAGCAGCUGCAGGGCCACCUUUUGGAAGCCCCACCCUGUGGACAGGAAACCCUGCAAGGCUCCAUCCCAGGGCUGUGUGAGCCCUCAUGCGAUCCAUCUUGGGGGCCCAUGAUAGGUUGUCUCAUGCCCCACACAGUGCUCCCUUGGACUUGUGAGGCGUUCUCACUGCAGUUAAGGGUUUCUAGAUGGUGUUGCCCUGGAUCACGUGGGCAGGCCCUAGAUCCCUCCCAAUGUCCUCCUGAGAGAGAAGGGGCCGAGGCAGGGACCAGAGUGAUGCUUCACCUGCCAGGGGGCAUCAAGGUGGCUGAGGCCCCGGGGCUGGAGAGAGGCCGGGGCUGGGUCCCCUCCAUACCCACCCUGCAGCACUUUUGUGUCAUCCUUGAGAGAAGUUACACAGUUUGCAGUCAUGGGUGCAGCAGCCCUGGGAAACUGACACAGCCCCAACCCAGCUCUGCCCUAGCUGUGACCUCAAGUGUCCAUUUCUGACCUGUAAGUAGAAUAAGGAUACCUGGGAAGGUUGAAGACAAGAGCAGUAACAUUGGCUCAAGGUCCCAGUGCAGCAUAGGGCUUGGCCCAUAUGUGCACAGGUGACACCAGGGAGGGAGCCUCAGAGCCAGGUUCCCCAGAGGGCAGGAGGCCCUGGCAGAGCCAUACAGGAAGCGUGGGCUGCUGAAAAGGCAGUACUGUGGGAGGUGGUGGUCAGCUGUGUGCCCCUGCCGUCCUGUUCUGGUGGCAGCAGGUCCUUCCGCAAGAGCAGAGCUUCCUGCCAGCUCUCACACCACCCCAGCAGCCUGGGGGUUGGUGCCAGUGCUGGUAGCUGGUUGACUGUGCCGGUCAGGGAGCCAUGCACAGGCUGCAGCCACUGCAUCUGGCAGCAGGGGACGUGAGUGAAGGUACUGUGUGCCUUCCUCGGGGGCAGUGAAAUCCACUGGUGCUGCUCCUGGGCGCCCCACCCUGUGUCUGCCUCACUCAUUCCCCUCACUGCCAUGUCUUCCCCAGCCAGCCAUGACUGCCUGGGCUCCGUGUUGGAGAAGGAGGUGUCUGUGUCCACCUGGCAGCAGCUCGGCCCGUUGCCCACCCCUGGCGUGGCAGAGGAUCAGCACCCACAGGACAGGGAGCACCGCUUACUGGUUCUCCGCACCUGGCCACGCACUGGCAC